rnacentral:lncRNA from 1 species
ACGAAAAAUUACACAUUAUUAUCCAUAUUUUACCUCCUUCUUUAGUUGAGAAUCAAAUUCUUAAUCUAAAACCAAAAGAAGGCAUAUGGAUUCAACUGAAAAACAAAAAUACCUGUGGUGGCGAAAGUGUUGGAACCAAUUCAUCAUCUGAAGACACGUCAUCCUCAAUAGAUCCACUCCCGCCGACUUGUGAUUCUGUGAAUAAAAAAAAAACAAAGGAUGAGUGCGGCAACAUCAUGUGAAAUUAAUUAUAAGCAGAAUGCGAAUAAAGAUCACCUAUCAUUGAAGACACAGUAAUGGGAAGUUUUCCACGAGCCACUUUAGUUGAAACAUCCAAGGGUGGAUUUUCUGAGCUUCUUGACGGUUCCACAUCGCAUGCCUAUAUAAAAAGAAAGGGUGUCAGAAUGAAUCAACAAAAUUCGAAUCAUAUGGAUGCUACGUCAUACCUUUGACUUUGUUGAAGGAUCUUGCAAGUGCAUUUUACCCCUGGUAGGCAAACUCGUAAUAAGCACUUCCUGUAUACACAAGAAAAGAAAAAAAGGAGUUCAGUAUGCAAAAUAAAAAAAGAGAGAGAUAGUUGAAAAUGUUAAUGAAUAUACCUCAGAUUUCUUGUCUUCAUGAAUUGGAAAACUGAGACCGAGAACUUCACGUUGAGGGGAGUCAUCUGAAAGAUCAGCCUGAAUAUGAUCAUAUUCUGGAAAUAAGUCAAGUUCUUUUCCUUUUGGUUCUGGAAUAUUCAGAACCCUUUCAUCUCUAACAUUUGACGAGGUUAACGUCUCCUCAAAAUCAGAAUCUUUACCAAUAAUAGCACUUUUCUUCUUCUUCUUACGGGGAUCAUCUGCAUUAAGUAAAUAACCCACUCCAUGCUUGAAGCUUGAAUGCACGCUAUUAGACCACCAACGCGCAUAAUGUAAAGUUGGUUUCCCAAUCCGGUCCUUCUUUGGUAUAAAAUAAUUAGUGGAAGUGCCAUAUCGAAGAAAAUGAUUCCAACACCCAGCAAGUGUCCCAAGAUGACUCGCUAACUUAGGAACAUUGAUACUUUCAGGAAAAGACUGAUCGAAGCCAAAUUGUCGAGCAAAACGGUGAGGAUUAUACGGCUGUGUGUGCAAUUUGUUCCCCAAACGAAGUGGAAGCACGCUCUGUCUGAUAGAAAUUAUAUACUCAUAGACCUCUCUCGGAUACUUACACUCUCCUGGAGCCAAUUUUGCAUCAUAAAGCCAACCAUCGUUAACAAAAGAAUANNNN